rnacentral:snRNA from 1 species
AUACUUACCUGGAAGGGGAAAUGCCGUGGUUAUGAAGGCGGGUUUCCCAGGGUGAGGCUCAUCCAUUGCACUUUGGAAGGGCUGACUUCUGCAAUUUCCCCAAACAUGAAGAACUUGGUUGUGCAAUGUGGGGUUGCAUUUGUGCUUUUCCCUU